rnacentral:rRNA from 1 species
UAACCGACCUGCCCAUUGGUCUGGGAUAGCCCUUCGAAAGGAGGAGUAAUACCGGAUGGCCUCAUAUUUAUGCAUGUAGAUAUGAGUAAAGCUUCAUGUGCCGAUGGAGGGGGUUGCGGCCUAUCAGCUGGUUGGUGAGGUAACGGCUCACCAAGGCGACGACGGGUAGCUGGUCUGAGAGGAUGGUCAGCCGGAUUGGGACUGAGACACGGCCCAA